rnacentral:tRNA from 1 species
GGAAGAUUACCCAAGUCCGGCUGAAGGGGACGGUCUCGAAAACCGUUAGGCGAUUUAUGUCGUGCAAGGGUUCAAAUCCCUUAUCUUCCA